UACGUAGGUGGCGAGCGUUGUCCGGAUUUAUUGGGCGUAAAGGGUGCGUAGGCGGUUUGGUAAGUCUGAUGUGAAAUCCAUGGGCUCAACUCAUAGUCUGCAUCGGAAACUGCCGGGCUUGAGUAUGGGAGAGGUGAGUGGAAUUCCUGGUGUAGCGGUGAAAUGCGUAGAUAUCAGGAAGAACACCCGUGGCGAAGGCGGCUCUCUGGGACGGUACUGACGCUGAGACGCGAAAGCGUGGGGAGCGAACAGG
rnacentral:rRNA from 1 species